rnacentral:misc_RNA from 1 species
ACAAGAUACCAGGCCACUAGA